GGGGAAGGCACGCCACCCGUACCCUGCCUUUGCCGGCUGGACAAUUUUGGCGAGGCCGCAGGCUCUGCACGCUCCUAGGCCUCGACACCCACCACGCCACUCUGAGCUCCAGGACGUCCUGUGAUUACAGUUUAAAUCAGCAUCCCUCAGGGCCAGAGACCUGGUCUUCACCUGAGGACGGCUGCUUGCGUUGUGGCCGAAACGUCGUGAGAAUUAUUUUAUUAUGUUUUAUUAUUAUUUUAUUAUUUCCCUUCUACAUGACUUUACCGAAAGAACCAAGAAGAUGAG